GGGAGUGAAAUAGAACCUGAAACCCUGCACUUACAAGCUGUGGAAGCACAUUUCUUGUGUGACCGCGUACUUUUUGUAGAACGGGCCAACGAGUUACGUUAAGUAGCAAGGUUAAGCACUUAAGGUGCGGAGCCGUAGCGAAAGCGAGUUUUAACUGAGCGUUCAGUUACUUGACGUAGACCCGAAACCGGGCGACCUACCCAUGAGCAGGCUGAAGCGAAAGUAAAAUUUCGUGGAGGUCCGAACCCACGAGCGUUGAAAAGCUCGGGGAUGACUUGUGGGUAGCGGUGAAAUUCCAAUCGAGCCCGGAGAUAGCUGGUUCUCCCCGAAAUAGCUUUAGGGCUAGCCUCAAGGUGAGAGAUACGGAGGUAGAGCACUGAAUGUCCUAGGGGGUAUUGCACCUACCGAAGACUAUCAAACUCCGAAUGCCGUCAUCUUAUACUUGGGAGUCAGACUGUGGGUGAUAAGAUUCAUAG
rnacentral:rRNA from 1 species